rnacentral:tRNA from 1 species
GAAGGUGUAGCUCAACUGGUAGAGCAUGUGCUUGUCAUGCAGGAGGUCCUGGGUUCAAUUCCUGGCACCUCCU